rnacentral:rRNA from 1 species
UACGUAGGGGGCGAGCGUUGUCCGGAAUUAUUGGGCGUAAAGAGCGCGUAGGCGGUCCGAUAAGUCGGCUGUGAAAGUCAGGGGCUCAACCCUUGAAAGCCGGCCGAUACUGUCGGACUAGAGUCCGGAAGAGGCAAGUGGAAUUCCCGGUGUAGCGGUGAAAUGCGCAGAUAUCGGGAAGAACACCCGUGGCGAAGGCGGCUCUCUGGGACGGUACUGACGCUGAGACGCGAAAGCGUGGGGAGCGAACAGG